UACGAAGGGGGGCUAGCGUUGCUCGGAAUCACUGGGCGUAAAGGGUGCGUAGGCGGGUCUUUAAGUCAGGGGUGAAAUCCUGGAGCUCAACUCCAGAACUGCCUUUGAUACUGAAGAUCUUGAGUUCGGGAGAGGUGAGUGGAACUGCGAGUGUAGAGGUGAAAUUCGUAGAUAUUCGCAAGAACACCAAGUGGCGAAGGCGGACUCACUGGCCCGGUACUGACGCUGAGGUGCGAAAGCGUGGG
rnacentral:rRNA from 1 species